AUGUUUGACUCUCACGUAACGAGCGCAUCUCUGCCGCUCCGUUAUUCGGUAAUGUUACGUCUACGGAUCUUCUCAAGGACCCAACCACUUCAGCUUGCAUCCCACCAGGACAUUCUCAAACGACCAAAAUACAUCCACCGAGGCUCUGGACGGAAUUUUCAGUACACUCACACCAGCAACAAAAACAUCCGCUCCUUCUGGUCCACUGGGCCCCGCCCCCUUCCUCGCACAGCCCGUACGGUCAGUCCCGUCAAUCACAGUGUCCUGUCCCCUCUGCUCAAAGCAACCUGCUACACUCCACUCACCUGUCUGAAACUCUGUCUGCUGAACACCAGAUCCCUCAGUAAUAAGGCCCUUUUGAUAAAUGACUUCAUUGUUGACCAGAGCCUAGACAUUCUCUGCCUCACUGAGACCUGGCAACAACCAAAUGACUUCUCCCAUCUAAAUGAAGCUGUCCCACCAGGUUUUUCUUUUAUUAGUAAACCCCGGGUUAAUGGGAGGGGGGGGUGGCCUCGCUCUCCUCCAUCGUGAUAACAUCAAAGGCACCACUGUCACAGUCCCCCUUCACUCCUCCUUUGAAUGUCUAGCUGUAAAACUCUACGGCCCCAAACUAUCAUUGUCACCAUUUACAGACCACCAAAACCCUCUGCCGUUUUCCUCAAUGAAUUCUCAUCACUACUUACAUCUGUAUGUGCAAUGUCCCCCACUGUUAUCCUCCUUGGUGAUUUCAACAUCCACAUUGACAACCCAUCCUGUACUUUUGCUAAUGACUUCACAUCACUUCUGGACUGUCUUGGCAUCACACAACAUGUCAACCUCCCAACCCAUAACAAAGGUCCCAUUCUGAUUUAAUCUGCUGCACUGACAUCACUCCCACUAACCUUGAUGUCAUUGAUUUCCCCAUCUCCGACCACAAAGCUGUACUUUUUGACAUUCAUACCCAACUACACAAAACCAAGGAACAACGGACCAUCUCCUUUAGAAACAUCAAACUUAUCAACACCACAGACCUCUCCACCAUGAUCAGCUCCUACCCCAACCCUCCCCCAGCUUCCUCCCUGAUUGACCUGGUGACUCACUACAAUAACUGCCUCUCCUCCUCCCUCACCACCCUGGCCCCCCUGAAAACCCGCUCAGUCUCAUUCACCCACACUGCUCCCUGGUUCACUCCUCAUCUGCGCCAGCUCAAAGCCACUGGUCGUCGACUGCAAUAAGACUC
rnacentral:lncRNA from 1 species